rnacentral:rRNA from 1 species
GAUGAACGCUGGCGGCGUGCCUAAUACAUGCAAGUCGAGCGAACAGAUGAGGAGCUUGCUCCUCUGACGUUAGCGGCGGACGGGUGAGUAACACGUGGAUAACCUACCUAUAAGACUGGGAUAACUUCGGGAAACCGGAGCUAAUACCGGAUAAUAUAUUGAACCGCAUGGUUCAAUAGUGAAAGACGGUUUUGCUGUCACUUAUAGAUGGAUCCGCGCCGCAUUAGCUAGUUGGUAAGGUAACGGCUUACCAAGGCAACGAUGCGUAGCCGACCUGAGAGGGUGAUCGGCCACACUGGAACUGAGACACGGUCCAGACUCCUACGGGAGGCAGCAGUAGGGAAUCUGCCGCAAUGGGCGAAAGCCUGACGGAGCAACGCCGCGUGAGUGAUGAAGGUCUUCGGAUCGUAAAACUCUGUUAUUAGGGAAGAACAAAUGUGUAAGUAACUAUGCACGUCUUGACGGGACCUAAUCAGAAAGCCACGGCUAACUACGU